rnacentral:rRNA from 1 species
AUUGAACGCUGGCGGCAGGCUUAACACAUGCACGUCGAGCGCGCGGCGCACGGGUGAGUAAUGUCUGGGAAACCGCCUGAUGGAGGGAGAUAACUACUGGAAACGGUCUAUUAUACCGCAUACUCACAUAUGCGCCCAGAUGGGAUUAGCUAGUAGGUGGGGUAAUGGCUCACUUAGGCGACGAUCCCUAGCUGGUCUGAGAGGAUGACCAGCCACACUGGAACGGAGACACGGUCCAGACUCCUACGGGAGGCAGCAGUGGGGAAUAUUGCACAAUGGGCGCAAGCCGGAUGCAGCCAUGCCGCGUGUGUGAAGAAGGCCUUCGGGUUGUAAAGCACUUUCAGCGAGGAGGCGUUACUCGCAGAAGAAGCACCGGCUAACUCCGUGCCAGCAGCCGCGGUAAUAC